rnacentral:rRNA from 1 species
GACGAACGCUGGCGGCGUGCUUAGCACAUGCAAGUCGAACGGAAAGGCCCUGCUUUUGUGGGGUGCUCGAGUGGCGAACGGGUGAGUAACACGUGAGUAACCUGCCCUUGACUUUGGGAUAACUUCAGGAAACUGGGGCUAAUACCGGAUAGGAGCUCCUGCUGCAUGGUGGGGGUUGGAAAGUUUCGGCGGUUGGGGAUGGACUCGCGGCUUAUCAGCUUGUUGGUGGGGUAGUGGCUUACCAAGGCUUUGACGGGUAGCCGGCACGAGAGGGUGACCGGCCACAUUGGGACUGAGAGACGGCGCAGACUCCUACGGGAGGCAGCAGUGGGGAAUAUUGCACAAUGGGCGGAAGCCUGAUGCAGCAACGCCGCGUGCGGGAUGACGGCCUUCGGGUUGUAAACCGCUUUCGCCUGUGACGAAGCGUGAGUGACGGUAAUGGGUAAAGAAGCACCGGCUAACUACGUG